AAUGAACGCUGGCGGCAUGCCUUACACAUGCAAGUCGAACGGCAGCAUGACCUAGCUUGCUCGGUUGAUGUCGAGGGGCGAACGUGUGUGUCAUGUAUCUGAACGUGCCUUUUAGCUGGGGAUAACGUAGCGAAAGUUACGCUAUUACCGCUUAUUCUCUGAGCCGGAAAGCUGGGGAGCUUCGGGCCUUUCUCUAGAAGAGCGGCCGAUGUCGCGGUCGCUAGUUGGUGAGGUAAAGGCUCACCAAGGCAACGAUCCGCAGACGGUCUGAGAGGGUGAUCCGCCACACUUGGACUGAGACACGGGCCCGACUCCUACGGGAGGGAGCAGUGGGGAAUUUUCGGCAAUGGGCGGAAGCCUGACGCAGCCCAGGCGCGUGGGUGAAGAAGGGCCUCGGGUUUGAAAACCCUUUUAGGCGGGAAGAAAACGCACCCACUAAUACAGGGUGUGGAUGACGGUACCAGCAUAAGAAGCCCCGGCUAACUACGUG
rnacentral:rRNA from 1 species